rnacentral:rRNA from 1 species
GGAUCGGAGUGAAAUGCUAAUCAAGCUCGGAGAUAGCUGGUUCUCCUCGAAAGCUAUUUAGGUAGCGCCUCAUGUAUCACUCUGGUGGGUAGAGCACUGUUUCGGCUAGGGGGUCAUCCCGACUUACCAAACCGAUGCAAACUCCGAAUACCCAGAAGUGCCGAGCAUGGGAGACACACGGCUGGUGCUAACGUCCGUCGUGAAAAGGGAAACAACCCAGACCGCCAGCUAAGGUCCCAAAGUUGUGGUUAAGUGGUAAACGAUGUGGGAAGGCUUAGACA